AUCAACUUUCGAUGGUAGGAUAGAGGCCUACCAUGGUGGUAACGGGUAACGGGGUGUUAGGGCACGACACCGGAGAGGGAGCCUGAGAAACGGCUACCACAUCCAAGGAUGGCAGCAGGCGCGCAAAUUACCCAAUCCCGACACGGGGAGGUAGUGACAAUAAAUAACAAUACGGGGUUCUUUCGGAUUUCGUAAUUGGAAUGAGUACAAUUUAAAUCUCUUAACGAGGAACAAUUGGAGGGCAAGUCUGGUGCCAGCAGCCGCGGUAAUUCCAGCUCCAAUAGCGUAUAUUAAAGUUGUUGCAGUUAAAAAGCUCGUAGUUGAAUUUCGGGAUCAUCAGGUUGGUCGUGCCUCUGGUAUGUACUGAUUUCGAUGGUCCCUCCUUCUUGAAGAGCCGUAAUGCCAUUAAUUUGGUGUUGCGGGGAAUCAGGACUGUUACUUUGAAAAAAUUAGAGUGUUUAAAGCAGGCAAUCGCUUGAAUACAUUAGCAUGGAAUAAUGAAAUAGGACGUUCGAUCCUAUUUUGUUGGUUUCUAGGAUUGACGUAAUGAUUAAUAGGGAUAGUUGGGGGCAUUAGUAUUCAAUUGUCAGAGGUGAAAUUCUUGGAUUUAUUGAAGACUAACUACUGCGAAAGCAUUUGCCAAGGAUGUUUUCAUUAAUCAAGAACGAAAGUUAGGGGAUCGAAGACGAUCAGAUACCGUCGUAGUCUUAACCAUAAACUAUGCCGACUAGGGAUCGGAUGAUGUUAAUUUUUUAAUGACUCAUUCGGCGCCUUACGGGAAACCAAAGUGUUUGGGUU
rnacentral:rRNA from 1 species